UACGGAGGGUGCAAGCGUUAAUCGGAAUUACUGGGCGUAAAGCGCACGCAGGCGGUUUGUUAAGUGAGAUGUGAAAUCCCCGGGCUCAACCUGGGAACUGCAUCUCAUACUGGGAAGCUUGAGUCUUGUAGAGGGGGGUAGAAUUCCAUGUGUAGCGGUGAAAUGCGUAGAGAUGUGGAGGAAUACCGGUGGCGAAGGCGGCCCCCUGGACAAGGACUGACGCUCAGGUGCGAAAGCGUGGGGAGCAAACAGG
rnacentral:rRNA from 1 species